rnacentral:lncRNA from 1 species
UGCCCACUGUGGAAGUUUCACCUGAGCUUCUCACCUGGCCCUCGAGGCCCUUCAGGACUUCUCAGUAGAGACACGCUUUGCAGGAUACUGCCAACAGGGCGAAGCCUCUUGGGAGUCCGUACCUCCAGGCAGCACCAGAGGCUGAGCCUCCCUGACCACCAGCAGCCGGCAGUACUCUGUGAUCAGAUACCAGGGGCACCUCUGCAGAGGUGGAGCCCAUUGCCCCAGAGAAACUCCACCAGCCUGCCCAAUCUGGCCACCGCCUGCCUUGGUCCUCAGGACCUACACACUGCCAGUUUCUCUGCUUUGGCGAGAUUGAUCCCCCACAUCUGCCCAUGUGGCUUUUCUCCUAUUCAGAGUUGCCUCCUCAGAGAGGCCUUCCCUGUACACCCCACCUAAAAUAGGUGCACAUGUGCACAUGUGCGUGCGCGCGCGCGCGCGCACACACACACACAGUCUCUCUCUAUGCACAAUUACAUUUGCACAAUCUCCCCUCUGUUUCCUUACCUCCUCUCUGCUCUAGAAUGUAAGUUCCAUGAGAACGAUGCUUUAUUUUCUGCUGUAUCCUCAGUGUCUACAGAUACAUCUUUAUAAAUAUUUGUUGACUGAGUAAAAUAGAGGCCACUGUUGUAUGUCAUUUUACCACAUUUAUCACAAAUGCAAAGAAGCAGUGAAAGACUUGUCAGCAACAAGGCCACACUGCAUACCAAACGCCAUCACCUCCUUGUUGAGUCACAGUGAUCACUUCUGUGUGACAGAUGGUCACACCGAAAGACACAGGGUACCACAGACCGUCCUGAACAUAAUCCCCGUGUCUCCACUUCAGGGCAGUGCCCACGUGGGCUACCCUGCGCAGGCCCUGCAUCUCCUUUGCUUUCCAGUUGUUCUGCCUUCUCAAGGCCAG